UAUAUAUUUAAUGCAGGAUCUAUUUAGAGGCUGGCGAGGCCAACAAUUCGUCCGGCGAUGUGCGCAAAGGUGUAAAAUCCUACUCAGUACUCACCAUAUUUUUCAUUAUGUUGCAUCAGAUGUAGCUAGUUAUGUUCACUUAGCAGUUUUAAUUGCAAAUUUAUGGGGUAAAUUCCUAUCGUCUUCCCAGGCAGUUUCACCCGAAGGGAACACUUCUCUACGGCCACAAGGUUCUCAUUCAAACGCCACUCUGGCUACACAGAGAACUACACACGCAGAGGUUUCUCCUAUAGGAUCCCUAGAAUAAGAACUCGUCCCAUAAAUUCAUAAAUAAAAGCACUAAGUGAAACCAAGAAACUACAUCAUUUCAACAACAUAAUUUACAUAUGGUUUUCCCUUUCGAGAGGCCCCGAAGGGAUUACACACAACUAGGAAAUUACCUUCAAACUCUUGGCGAACUAAGCGCCUUCUUGGCUAUUCUACUAGUAGUGGUGGUGGCUAGACUACGAAGGAAGUGGUGCUUUGGUGGAGAGUCUCGAUGCUUUGAGUGCUCCGUGCUCUCCCGUCUCUUGUGUUCUCUUCUUGAGCCCAGCGUCUCCUUUUAUAGCCGCGAGGGGUGGCUGCAAGGUGGCCUUCGGAAGCCUUCCUUCACUUAUUUUACCCAUGGUAGCAUGCACACGUGUCCUACUAGGGUAUACGUGUGUCCUUCUAAUAAUAUAGAAAAGUGCGACAGAGUGCUGACAAGUUUCAAUCUUCAGGAAUCUUUGCUUUCUUCACGUGGCAUUGUCUCUCGGUAAAUAAUUGGCUAGUCUUUGUGUACCAGUCUUCGCUCUUCGGCCAUACAGAUCUUCAUGCGAUUAGCCUUGAGAGCUUCUUCAGCCUUCAAGAAUCCUCGUGUCAGUGGGGUCUUCCCUGCCCAUAUGAUUGAUAAUACCUUAUCAAUAUUUAAAGGACCUUAUGGGAAUUUCUAUCAAUAUUCGGGUCGGGUAUAUGUCCUCUGCGCCCGAAUAAUUGAUAGCAAUAUCAAUAUAUGUAGUUUGGGCUUUAUUCAGGUCGCUGCCCAUGCCCUGCUAUGUCCAUAUGAGCAUCAUCAUUUAACAGAUUGAAAUCAUAUUUUUCAUCACAUUCUUUCUUUAUUUCUUUAAAUUUUUCAUCCAUUUCUUGCCUUAAUUCUUUUAAUAUUUCCUCCUUUAAUUCUUUAUUAUCUUUGAAAAUUCUUCAAACCUUUUAUCCAUUUCUUGAUCUAUGUAUUCACUGUCUAAAGGGUCAAGCCCCUUUAGAAGGCAUUCUUGAUAUGUCUUAUAUUUUGGGGAUUCUUCUUUCUUUAUAUUGUUUGAGCUUGAUGCCUCCCCCUUUGUGGGAGUUGGUGAAGCAGGUAUGCCUCUUUUCAUUUGGAUAUAGUUUUUAGCCUUUGGGUCAAUAUAAUAAUCUGGUCCUAAUACCUUCCUUGCCCAAAGUAAGGCCUCACCUAUACUGUAAUAUCUUUUGAAUGUUAAAUCUUGUCCAUUUUUUUUUGCAUCUAAUUUUUCAAUCAUAAUAUUCUCCCAUUCCAAAUAUAUGCCAGGUUUAUUUCCAUCAAAUAUAAGAUAUAGAGUUUCUCCUUUUGGUAUUUCAACUUUUGCUGGCUUUGGCACAUUUUUGUUUAAUUCAUUAAAAUAUUCAGCCAAACUGUUGAGAAUUGAUAAAAAAUAUCCGUGUUCCUCUCUUUUGCGAGUAUAUUGGAACCAAAAGUUAUCCAAUAUGCAUCUUUGAGCUUCAUCGAGCUUAAUAUGGGAUUUUGGCUUAAAAUUGAAUGUAUUUGGCUGAAACAUUUUCAGCCUAUUUUCUUCUCCACAGAAGAGAUAUUCAUCCUUGUUGGCGAAUAAUCCUUUCCUCAUUCCUGCAAAUUUGAUGCACGAGAAAAUAUGUCAGGUAAGGUAUUAUCCUUCCCCUUAAUAUGCUCAAAAAUAACUUUAUAACCAUUCCCAGCUAUGGUGUCUUCAAAUAAGACCCAUCUUCUGGUUGAGCUUUUCUUACUAUUAAUUUUAUUGUAAUAUCGGCAUAUGGCUUCACAGUCUGUUCGUACUGUAAAUUCUUUAAAUCCUAGAUAUAACCUAAAUGCAUUUAUUGCAUUUACAACUGCAAGAAUUUCUCUAUCAAUAUUAUUUACCGUCUUUAAUUUGUAACUUCCUGAAGCAUAUCUGCAUAUUUUUUUGUCUGCCUUUGGAGAGUAUUUAUUGGGCUUUUGUUUUAGUAUCGCACCCCAUCCUACCUUAGAUGCAUCUGUCUCAAUUAUAAAAUAAUUGUCUUCUAGAGGCAAUUCUAGGGGUUUUAAAUUCCUGACCUUUUCCUUGAUGGCCUUUACUAAUUUUAUAUCUUCAGAAUUGAAGUAUCUUUGACCAUUUUUUCUUAAUUUAGCAUAUAAAGGUCCUGCUAGCUUUGCUAAGUUAUCUAUAUAGUUUCGCGCAUAGUUUACAAUUCCUAAGAACUGUUGUAAAACCUUUUUAUCACUCAUAUUAUCAGGAAACUCUAAUAUUUUCUUUGCAAUAUGUUCUUGUAGAUAUAUUUUUCCUUCUCCUAUUUCAUGACCAAGGAAAUUUAUUUUCUCUUUGCAAAUCUCCAUCUUCUUUUUAGAUAGUAUGAGCCCAUUUUGUUCUACCUUUCGAAAGAACACUUCAAGAUGGGCUAUAUGCUCUUUGUAUGAUUUUGAGAAUACUAACAAAUCAUCUACGUAUACUAAUAUAAAUGCUUGAUUCUCAUUAAAUAUAUUUUGCAUCUUUCUUUGAAAUAGUGCAGGUGCAUUCUUUAGGCCUAAUGGCAUUACUAGCCAUUCAUAAUGGCCUUGUGGACAAGUAAAUGCUGUCCAUGGAAUAGAUUCUUUAGCCAUUUUUACUUGCCAAAAUCCUGCCUUUAAAUCGAAUUUGGAGAAAUAUUUACUUCCUUGUAUUCUGUUAAUCCAUUCCUGCUUAUUAGGUAUGUUGUAUGCAUCGUCAACUGUAUUAUCAUUAAGCCUUUUAAAGUUAAUUACCAUUCUAGAUUUACCUCUAACUUCUUCAGCAUGAUUUCUAACUAUAAAAGCAGCAGAUCGAUGAGGGCUUCUGCUUUCUCUUAUAGCUUUUAACUUUAAUAACUCUUCAAUAUGCAUUUUGAACUCUUCGAUAUCUUUAGGAGUUGCUUCUAUUGGUCCUGACUUAAUUAUAUAAUCUGGAUUUAUGAUAUUUAUUUUGCAAACUAUAGAGUUCUUAUCCCAAUGUUUCAUUGGUAUUUCUCCAAUAAUUUGUAUACUUUCUAGUCUUUGCACAAUCUUAUCUAUAUCCUUUUUGGAUUUUAUAUCUCUAUACCAAUUUGGAGAGAAUGAUUGCAACCCAAUGCAUUCAGUACAUGUAUUUUCUAUAUGAUAUUCUUCUAUGGUCUCACUAAGUUCUUCGUCUUUACAGAAUUCAAGGGGAUCUGGUCUUGUGCUAUAUUCAUCAUCUAAAUUAGAUAUUUCUACAUUUUGCAAGGACUUUCUUUGUUUUCGCACUUCAGAUAUGUAUGGAACAUUAUCUUGAUAAGGAAUAAAUGUUACCCCCUCUUCAUGUAUGAUUGUGGUUUGUAAAGAUUGUUGUAAAAAUCUUAACCCUAUUAUCAUGUCAUCAUUUAUUA